GGGCUCGUCGUCUAGCGGAUUAGGACUGGAACCUUCUAAGUUCCCAACGUAGGUUCGAUUCCUACCGGGCUCA
rnacentral:tRNA from 1 species